AGUGGCGAACGGGUGAGUAACACGUGAGUAACCUGCCCUUGACUCUGGGAUAACUCCGGGAAACCGGGGUUAAUACCGGAUACGAGACGCGACCGCAUGGUCGGCGUCUGGAAAGUUUUUCGGUCAAGGAUGGACUCGCGGCCUAUCAGCUUGUUGGUGAGGUAAUGGCUCACCAAGGCGUCGACGGGUAGCCGGCCUGAGAGGGCGACCGGCCACACUGGGACUGAGACACGGCCCAGACUCC
rnacentral:rRNA from 1 species